GACGAACGCUGGCGGCGUGCUUAACACAUGCAAGUCGAGCGGUAAGGCCCUUUCGGGGGUACACGAGCGGCGAACGGGUGAGUAACACGUGGGUGACCUGCCCUCAGCUCUGGGAUAAGCCUGGGAAACCGGGUCUAAUACUGGAUAUGACUCCAUGACGCAUGUUGUGGGGUGGAAAGCCUUGUGCGGCUGAGGAUGGGGCCCGCGGCCUAUCAGCUUGUUGGUGGGGUGANGGCCUACCAAGGCGACGACGGGUAGCCGGCCUGAGAGGGCGACCGGCCACACUGGGACUGAGACACGGCCCAGACUCCUACGGGAGGCAGCAGUGGGGAAUCUUGCGCAAUGGGCGAAAGCCUGACGCAGCGACGCCGCGUGAGGGAUGACGG
rnacentral:rRNA from 1 species